GAUGAACGCUGGCGGCGUGCUUAACACAUGCAAGUCGAACGAAGCACUUUAUUACGAUUUCUUCGGAAUGACGAUUUAGUGACUGAGUGGCGGACGGGUGAGUAACGCGUGGGUAACCUGCCUUAUACAGGGGGAUAACAGUUAGAAAUGACUGCUAAUACCGCAUAAGCGCACAGGAUUGCAUGAUCUGGUGUGAAAAACUCCGGUGGUAUAAGAUGGGACCCGCGUCUGAUUAGCUGGUUGGUGAGGUAACGGCCCACCAAGGCGACGAUCAGUAGCCGACCUGAGAGGGUGACCGGCCACAUUGGGACUGAGACACGGCCCAAAACUCCUACGGGAGGCAGCAGUGGGGAAUAUUGGCACAAUGGGGGAAACCUGAUGCAGCGACGCCGCGUGAGCGAAGAAGUAUUCGGUAUGUAAAGCUCUAUCAGCAGGGAAGAAAAAAAAUGAACGGUACCUGACUAAGAAGCCCCGGCUAACUACGUG
rnacentral:rRNA from 1 species